rnacentral:lncRNA from 1 species
AUGAGCACAAGCAGCCUCUCACCCCUGGGAGGCCCCCACGGGCCCCGCUGCCAUCCCCAGGCGAGGCCACGCUUCCUCCUUCAGGUCUCUGGGCGGGUCACCUCCCCAUGGAAGCUGCCAGAAGCCUCAGACCGCAGGCCCCUGCCCACACCAGCCAGGAGCCCGCCCGGGCACGGCCCAGCCCUUGUCCGCGCUAGCCACAGAUGGAUGGCCUGGCAGCAGCCCCUUCUACAGCAAGAAUCCUCACUGAGAGCCUCCUUCCCCCGACCCCGCGAGAUGUCACUACCUACUUCCACUCCGUGUCAGCCGCACGCAAGCACAGACACACAAACCAUGUGUGUGUGCCCGUGUGUCCGUCUGCAGGAUGCGUGUGCACAUGUGAACUCACGAGUGCGCCCGAGGCCGUGCUGUGCCUCGUGCACCCGUCGCACACGUGUGGAUACGAGCGCUGGGGGAGAGCCGGCAGAGGAGGCUGAGCACUUCUCCGUGGUCCCUGUACCUCUCUGCCUGGAGGCCUGGUUCUGUCUCAUUCUCGUUUCCCAGGAGGCCUCUCUGGGCCCCUUCCUGGCUGGCCUCAGGGCAUCCAAGUCGGGUGGUGUCUGCGCCGGCCCCUGCGUCCUGGGAGCGGCCAAGGCUGCUAGAAUGUGCUCUCCCCCAGCCUCUGCAGGCUUCUAGUCACACAAGGCGCCGGAGGCCAGCCUGCCUCUUUUUCCUUUGUCAGCAUCUGCUUUCUCAAUAAAGUUUUGAAAACCUCUUCUUUCCCCAUGGGGUGUAGGAGUUUUAUCGGGCUGGGCCUGGGUGGGCCUGUCCUGGCUUCCCACGCCCGGGAUCCCCCUUCGGCUCAGAAGGUGUUUGGUCAUCUGUCCCACAGUCCUGGUCACACUCACCACCUGUCACCUGCCCCCUCUGGGUCUCUACCCUCGGCCGAGGUCCAAGCCUCGCAUCUCCUCCUGGUGCCUGGCAUCCUGGCGCUUUCCCUCUGUGGUGAGGUGGUCCUUCUGCCUGCACGUCCAGGUGUUCAUCAAUGGUGGCCUCUCCCUCCGGUCACUGGCUGACAUUUUUCUAGUUCGGCUGCAAGGAUUCCUUUGCGUGUGUGUGCGUAUGUGUGUGUGUGUGCACAUCUCUGUUGGUUUUCUCUGUGGCGUGUGGGGGCCAGGUGUUCGCACUGCCUCCUCUGGCAGC